UAGUAGAUGAUUGCUGGCUCACAAGGUUGGGGUGAAAUAAGGAUCCUGGAUUCCCCUGAGAAAGCCCCAACACCUCAACUACCUUAUGACCUUUCCUGCUCAAAACCAGAAGAUCUGCUUAUGUGAGGUUUUUUUUUCCCUCAAGGUAAGAUUGCACAGCUUGAAGUAGGUUUUCAAGUGAAGAUCAAGUGCUCCAAGAAAUCUUGGAUGAGACAAUAGAAAAAUAUGCAGGUGGAUUAUUCAUCAUGCCUGAAAAUCUUUGCUGUUUGUUAUCAUAUAAAUGUCACCAGUAUCUUCUUCCUUCUCAGGCACUGCAUGCCUGCAGCAGAGGUACUAAACUUUUGCCCAUAGUUUUAUGUAGUUACUCUCAAAAUAUCUUCUGGAUCAUCAUAGCACAACAUGCUGUGCAGCCCUCUUGGAAGGCUCUUUCUCAUGAGCAAGAUGGAUUGUAUGGAUUUCUUGAUCUUUCUUAGUUCUGCUGUGCUUACUUUUUCAGAAAUGAGAUUGCUGAAGAAUGCAACUAGUGAAGCAAAAGUUUUCAUGGAUUUGGGCUUUUGUUCUCAGUGCACAGUAGAAAUGAACUUUGCCCUUCAGAGGAACGGUGUCAUUUUUUUCCAUAGCUGCCGAGGGUAUGUGCAUUGUUCUGGAUCUCUAGGGGCUCUGUAAAUGUUGUGCUUCCUAAUCACCGACUGUCGCGGAGCUAAGGAUUGAGAUCUACAGGCCAGGGGCCCUGUACCAGUUUUACCUUACCCUCCAGGCAGGGUGCAAAUGUUUUCAGAUAGUCCAGACUGUUGAAAUCCUCCUUCUGUGGUCUGAAUUACUGGCCUAAAUUUUUAGGAAUCUGAGUUUACUAUCAGUGGAACAUGAAAUAAGUAACUUUUUGAUGUUAUUCCAGGACAAAUAAAAAUAAACUAUCUUCUUUUGAGUAUUUUAACUUUGAACUUUUAAUUAAAUUUGACAGUAACUGAACUUUUAACUUUACUUUUUCAAUUGCACUGAUUAUAAAUGCUAUCUAAACCUUCUCAAUAGCAGUGUAGUGAACAUAUUAAAUUGUCAUAAUUUAGGAAGCUCAUAUUUGAUAUGAGCUCAUUGCAAGAGUGAGAGCUUUGGUUUUGUCCAGUACUUUCUGAGAACAGUCACUAGCAAUGACAAAAAUGACCAGAUGACAAGACCACGUGUGUGCUUAAGGGGGGGAGAAAAAAACCAGGAUGAUUCAAUCUCUAGAUUUAAUUUUCAUGCUCUUGCAAUCUCCAAGGACUUGUGUGAAUGACAAGUUUAAUAACAAAAACCUGGAUCUGAGAGUCUUCAUCCAGUGACCCAACAAACCUUUGCCAAGUCAUGAUGGGUUAUAUGAUGCACAGCCUGAGUGUCAGCUGAAGAAAGAAACACCUGGGACUCGAGAGCUGAAAAAUCCAUUUAAAAAGGAAAUACAAGCUGAAGUGGCAAAAGGUCAUAUACAAACAGCAAGGACUGAGGUAGCUUAAACUAAUAGCAAGGAGGAGCAUCCAUCAAGGGAGAUGAGACUAUUUCUGCCUCUUGGAUCAUAUGGAUUUCCAUC